GUCGGGUACGGGGACAUGACCCCGAAGACCUACAUCGGGAUGUUUGUGGGUGCGCUGUGUGCCCUGGCCGGUGUGCUGACGAUUGCCCUGCCCGUACCCGUCAUCGUGAGCAAC
rfam:Aedes aegypti strain Liverpool supercont1.239 genomic scaffold, whole genome shotgun sequence.